CUCUUCUUGAUUUAAUAAGAGGUAUUACCUGCCCACUGAUAAUUUAAUGGCCGCGGUAUAUUGACCGUGCAAAGGUAGCAUAAUCAUUAGUCUUUUAAUUGAGGGCUGGAAUGAAUGGUUGGACGAAAUAAUAACUAUCUUAUUAUUAUUAAUUUUGAAUUUAAUUUUUGAGUAAAAAAGCUUAAAUUAUUUUUUGGGACGAGAAGACCCUAUAGAGUUUAUAUAUUUAAAAUAAUUAAUUUAAGUUAAAUAAUUAUUUAAUUAUUUACAAUAUUUGAUUGGGGCGAUUAAAAGAUAAAAAUAACUCUUUAUAUAAAAUAAUUAUUAAUUUAUAUAUAUAUUUAAAGAUAUUGAUCCAUUAUUAGUGAUUAAAAGAUUAAAUUACC
rnacentral:rRNA from 1 species